CGGGGUGCCUGGAAUCAGAGGGCAGCCUGCUCUCCUUUGGCAAACAAACACCCACUCUGAUUUGCUCUUUGGAGCCAGAUGGCAUGCAGUACUUCUGAAGUUAAAUCCAGCCUUAUGAUGACAAUGGCCAUUGCCAACAAGGAACCACUUGGACUGUGAUGCCAAACUCUUCAGCUCUUGAGGGACCUUGAAAUAGAGUGGCUUGAAC